rnacentral:rRNA from 1 species
CCUACGGGUGGCUGCAGUGGGGAAUAUUGGACAAUGGGCGAAAGCCUGAUCCAGCCAUGCCGCGUGUGUGAAGAAGGCCUUCGGGUUGUAAAGCACUUUCAGUGGGGAAGAAAGCCUUGGGGCUAAUACCCUCGAGGAAGGACAUCACCCACAGAAGAAGCACCGGCUAACUCCGUGCCAGCAGCCGCGGUAAUACGGAGGGUGCGAGCGUUAAUCGGAAUUACUGGGCGUAAAGCGCGCGUAGGCGGUCUGAUAAGCCGGUUGUGAAAGCCCCGGGCUCAACCUGGGAACGGCAUCCGGAACUGUCAGGCUAGAGUGCAGGAGAGGAAGGUAGAAUUCCCGGUGUAGCAGUGAAAUGCGUAGAGAUCGGGAGGAAUACCAGUGGCGAAGGCGGCCUUCUGGACUGACACUGACGCUGAGGUGCGAAAGCGUGGGUAGCAAACAGGAUUAGAUCCCCUUGUAGUC